rnacentral:rRNA from 1 species
GACGAACGCUGGCGGCGUGCCUAAUACAUGCCAGUAGAACGCUGAAGGAGGAGCUUGCUUCUCUGGAUGAGUUGCGAACGGGUGAGUAACGCGUAGGUAACCUGCCUGGUAGCGGGGGAUAACUAUUGGAAACGAUAGCUAAUACCGCAUAAUAGUAGAUGUCGCAUGACAUUUGCUUAAAAGGUGCAAUUGCAUCACUACCAGAUGGACCUGCGUUGUAUUAGCUAGUUGGUGAGGUAACGGCUCACCAAGGCAACGAUACAUAGCCGACCUGAGAGGGUGAUCGGCCACACUGGGACUGAGACACGGCCCAGACUCCUACGGGAGGCAGCAGUAGGGAAUCUUCGGCAAUGGACGGAAGUCUGACCGAGCAACGCCGCGUGAGUGAAGAAGGGUUUCGGAUCGUAAAGCUCUGUUGUAAGAGAAGAACGAGUGUGAGAGUGGAAAGUUCACACUGUGACGGUAUCUUACCAGAAAGGGACGGCUAACUACGUG